rnacentral:rRNA from 1 species
UACGUAGGGUGCGAGCGUUAAUCGGAAUUACUGGGCGUAAAGCGUGCGCAGGCGGUUUUGUAAGCCAGAUGUGAAAUCCCCGGGCUUAACCUGGGAAUGGCAUUUGGGACUGCAAGGCUUGAGUGCGGCAGAGGAGACUGGAAUUCCUGGUGUAGCAGUGAAAUGCGUAGAUAUCAGGAGGAACACCGAUGGCGAAGGCAGGUCUCUGGGCUGACACUGACGCUCAUGCACGAAAGGCGUGGGGAG